rnacentral:misc_RNA from 1 species
GAAAUGCGAUAAGUAAUGUGAAUUGCAGAAUUCAGUGAAUCAUCGAAUCUUUGAACGCACAUUGCGCCCGCCAGUAUUCUGGCGGGCAUGCCUGUCCGAGCGUCAUUUCAACCAUCAAGCCCCCGGGCUUGUGUUGGGGACCUGCGGCUGCCCGCAGGCCCUGAAAACCAGUGGCGGGCUCGCUGUCACACCGAGCGUAGUAGCAAUCACCUCGCUCAGGGCGUGCUGCGGGUUCCGGCCGUUAAACAGCCUUACAAAACCCGAGGUUGACCUCGGAUCAGGUAGGAAGACCCGCUGAACUUAAGC